GCUGAUGCGUUGUUGGGUAGGGGAGCGUUCUGUAAGCCUGCGAAGGUGACCUGUGAGGGUUGCUGGAGGUAUCAGAAGUGCGAAUGCUGACAUAAGUAACGAUAAAGCGGGUGAAAAGCCCGCUCGCCGGAAGACCAAGGGUUCCUGUCCAACGUUAAUCGGGGCAGGGUGAGUCGACCCCUAAGGCGAGGCCGAAAGGCGUAGUCGAUGGGAAACGGGUUAAUAUUCCCGUACUUGGUGUUACUGCGAAGGGGGGACGGAGAAGGCUAUGUUGGCCGGGCGACGGUUGUCCCGGUUUAAGCGUGUAGGUGUGUGUUCCAGGUAAAUCCGGUUCACUUUAACACUGAGGCGUGAUGACGAGGCACUACGGUGCUGAAGCAACAAAUGCCCUGCUUCCAGGAAAAGCCUCUAAGCAUCAGGUAACAUCAAAUCGUACCCCAAACCGACACAGGUGGUCAGGUAGAGAAUACCAAGGCGCUUGAGAGAACUCGGGUGAAGGAACUAGGCAAAAUGGUGCCGUAACUUCGGGAGAAGGCACGCUGACACGUAGGUGAAGUGAUUUACUCACGGAGCUGAAGUCAGUCGAAGAUACCAGCUGGCUGCAACUGUUUAUUAAAAACACAGCACUGUGCAAACACGAAAGUGGACGUAUACGGUGUGACGCCUGCCCGGUGCCGGAAGGUUAAUUGAUGGGGUCAGCGCAAGCGAAGCUCCUGAUCGAAGCCCCGGUAAACGGCGGCCGUAACUAUAACGGUCCUAAGGUAGCGAAAUUCCUUGUCGGGUAAGUUCCGACCUGCACGAAUGGCGUAAUGAUGGCCAGGCUGUCUCCACCCGAGACUCAGUGAAAUUGAACUCGCUGUGAAGAUGCAGUGUACCCGCGGCAAGACGGAAAGACCCCGUGAACCUUUACUAUAGCUUGACACUGAACAUUGAGCCUUGAUGUGUAGGAUAGGUGGGAGGCUUUGAAGUGUGGACGCCAGUCUGCAUGGAGCCGACCUUGAAAUACCACCCUUUAAUGUUUGAUGUUCUAACGUGGACCCGUAAUCCGGGUUGCGGACAGUGUCUGGUGGGUAGUUUGACUGGGGCGGUCUCCUCCUAAAGAGUAACGGAGGAGCACGAAGGUUGGCUAAUCCUGGUCGGACAUCAGGAGGUUAGUGCAAUGGCAUAAGCCAGCUUGACUGCGAGCGUGACGGCGCGAGCAGGUGCGAAAGCAGGUCAUAGUGAUCCGGUGGUUCUGAAUGGAAGGGCCAUCGCUCAACGGAUAAAAGGUACUCCGGGGAUAACAGGCUGAUACCGCCCAAGAGUUCAUAUCGACGGCGGUGUUUGGCACCUCGAUGUCGGCUCAUCACAUCCUGGGGCUGAAGUAGGUCCCAAGGGUAUGGCUGUUCGCCAUUUAAAGUGGUACGCGAGCUGGGUUUAGAACGUCGUGAGACAGUUCGGUCCCUAUCUGCCGUGGGCGCUGGAGAACUGAGGGGGGCUGCUCCUAGUACGAGAGGACCGGAGUGGACGCAUCACUGGUGUUCGGGUUGUCAUGCCAAUGGCACUGCCCGGUAGCUAAAUGCGGAAGAGAUAAGUGCUGAAAGCAUCUAAGCACGAAACUUGCCCCGAGAUGAGUUCUCCCUGAG
rnacentral:rRNA from 1 species